CCCUUAGACGUUCUGGGCCGCACGCGCGCUACACUGACGGAGCCAGCGAGUAUAAACCUUGGCCGAGAGGUCUGGGAAAUCUUGUGAAACUCCGUCGUGCUGGGGAUAGAGCAUUGUAAUUAUUGCUCUUCAACGAGGAAUUCCUAGUAAGCGCAAGUCAUCAGCUUGCGUUGAUUACGUCCCUGCCCUUUGUACACACCGCCCGUCGCUACUACCGAUUGAAUGGCUUAGUGAGGCUUCCGGAUUGGUUUAGAGAAGUGGGCAACUCCAUCUUGGAACCGAGAAGCUAGUCAAACUUGGUCAUUUAGAGGAAGUAAAAGUCGUAACA
rnacentral:rRNA from 1 species